rfam:Phlebotomus papatasi Contig79428.1, whole genome shotgun sequence.
UUUCUUGCUUCGGCAGAACAUUUACUAAAAUUGGAACGAUGCAGAGAAGAUUAUCAUGGCCCCUGUGUAAGGAAGACAUGC